AUAAGUUACGUAAUGUAUAUAGUGGAUGCCUCGACUCUAAGUUCCGAUGAAGGACGUGGUAAGCUGCGAUAAGCCUCGGCUAGAUGCUAACAAUCUUAACCGGGGAUUUCCGAAUAGGGGAACCUUAUACGAGUAAUGUCGUAUAACUAGCAAAGACUAGUGGAUACACAGCGAAUUGAAAUAUCUUAGUAACUGUGGACAAGAAAUCAAACGAGAUUCCCUUAGUAGUGACGAGCGAACGGGGAAUAGCCCAAACCUACCUUCGGGUAGGGGUUGUAGGACUCCAACAUGGAACUGUUAAUUAUAGAAGAACACUCUGGAAAGUGUGACCAAAGAGGGUGAUAGUCCCGUAAUCGAAAUAAUUAAUUUUUCCUAGGAUGUUCCUGAGUAGGGUCGGACACGUGAAAUCCGGCUUGAAUCUGGGAGGACCACCUUCCAAGGCUAAAUAGACUUAGAGAUCAAUAGUGAACUAGUACCGCGAGGGAAAGGUGAAAAGAACCCCGGGAGGGGAGUGAAAUAGAACCUGAAACUAUAUACUGAUAAAGAGAUGAAGGAGUAAUCUAACAUCGUACUUUUUGUAGAACGGACCAUCGAGUUAGCUGUAUGAAGCAGGUUAAGGCAGUAAUAGCCGGAGCCAUAGUGAAAGCGAGGGUUAAUAGCCCGCACGUUUCAUGCACUAGACGCGAAACCUGGUGAGCUACUUAUGGGCAGGUUGAAGCAAAGGUAAGACUUUGUGGAGGACCGAACCCACGGAAGCUGCAAGUUCCGGGGAUGACCUGUGAGUAGUGGUGAAAUUCCUAUCGAACCAGGAGAUAGCUCGUUCUCCUCGAAAUAGCUUUAGGGCUAGCCUCGAGUAAUAGCAAUGGAGGGGUAGAGCUCUGUUAAGGCUAGGGGGUGUAAACAACCUACCAACCCUUGAUAAACUUCGAAUACUCCAUUUGUGUUUCUCGGGAGUCAGACUAUGACAGCGAAGUGCCAUAGUCAAAAGGGAAACAGCCCAGACCACCGUCUAAGGUCCCAAAUAAUGUCUAAGUGGUAAAGGAGGUGAAGAUACACAAACAACCAGGAGGUUGGCUUAGAAGCAGCCAUUCCUUUAAAGAGUGCGUAAUAGCUCACUGGUCGAGUGUUUUUGCGCCUAAAAUUCAACGGGGCUAAGUCAUUAACCGAAGACGUGGAAUCAAUUUUGAUUGGUAGAGGAGCGUUGUGCUCAGCGUCGAAGCAGUAUCGUGAGGUAUUGUGGAGCGUGCACAAGUGAGAAUGAUGGUAUAAGUAACUUAAUUAAGGUGAAAACCCUUAACGCCGAAAACCCAAGGUUUCCUACGCAAUGGUGAUCAACGUAGGGUUAGUCGGUCCUAAGGUGUAGCUGAAAAGCGAAAUCGAUGGAUAACAGGUUAAUAUUCCUGUACAGGGUAUAUAUCGCCCAAAACAAUAUGGAAUCUAAUUUCUUUCUUUUCUGAUUCUUCGGAUGACGAGAAUAAUGAAUGCAGUGAACAUGGCGUUAACUAAGGAGGGACGGAGAUGGCAAAACCAAGCGUAUUAAUGAAUUUACGUUUAAGCAUUUAGCUUAUGCUUCUAUAGGAAAAUCCGUAGAAGUUCGCGAGAUGUUAUGAAGACGGGACUUGUCCUGAAUUUGGUGGAGUCGACUUCCAAGAAAAGCUUCGUAGUGAGAUAUAUAUCUUACCGUACCGCAAACCAACACUGGUGGGUGAGUUGAGUAUACUAAGGCGCUCGAGAUAACUAUGCUUAAGGAACUCGGCAAAACAGCAGGUGUAACUUCGGGAUAAACCUUGCCAGCGUACAUUCUUUUAGUUUGUGCGUCGGCUGCAGCGAAAGACUUCAGGCGACUGUUUACCAAAAACACAGGUCUCUGCAAAACCGUAAGGUGACGUAUAGGGGCUGACGCCUGCCCAGUGCCAGAAGGUUACGAGGCGGAGUUCACGCUCCAAAUCUAAGCCCUGGUGAACGGCGGCCGUAACUAUAACGGUCCUAAGGUAGCGAAAUUCCUUGUCGGGUAAGUUCCGACCCGCACGAAUGGGGUAACGGUCUGAAGACUGUCUCAAGCAUAGACUCGGUGAAAUUGCAAUAUCGGUAAAAAUGCCGAUUAAUCACGGAAAGACGAAAAGACCCCGUGCAGCUUCACUACAGUUUGACAUUGAGUCGGGAUAUGAAUUGUGCAGAAUAGGUGGGAGACUAUGAGACCUAGACGCCAGUCUAGGAGGAGUCAUCUUUGAGAUACCACUCUUUUCAUAUUCUAGCUCUAACUUUGAAUACAGAGGACAGUGUUUGAUGGGUAGUUUAACUGGGGCGGUUGCCUCCUAAAGAGUAACGGAGGCGUACAAAGGUUACCUAACUCCGGAUGGAAAUCGGAGUGAUAGUGUAUUCGCAUAAGGUAGCUUGAUUGUAAGGCCUACAAGCCGAACAAGUGCGAAAGCAGGUGAAAGUGAACUGAUAUGUACAUGUGGGAGUCGUAGAGACAACGGAUAAAAGUUACGCCGGGGAUAACAGGCUUAUCGCGCCCAAGCGUCCAUAGCGACGGCGCGGUUUGGCACCUCGAUGUCGGCUCGUCGCAUCCUGGGGCUGGAGAAGGUCCCAAGGGUAUGGCUGUUCGCCAUUUAAAGCGGUACGCGAGCUGGGUUCAGAACGUCGUGAGACAGUUUGGCCUCUAUCUUCCGUGAUCGAUUGGAAAUUUGAGGGGAUUUGCUCCUAGUACGAGAGGACCGGAGUGAACGAACCUCUAGUGUAUCUGUUGUCGUGUCAACGGCAUUGCAGAGUAGCUAUGUUCGGUCGUGAUAACCGCUGAAGGCAUCUAAGCGGGAAGCCGAACCCAAGAUUAAAUUUCCCUAUAGCCUCCAGGGAGACUACCUGGUUGAUAGGCUAGCGGUGUACGCGCAGCGAUGCGUUUAGCCGACUAGUACUAAUAGGCGAUUGAACUUAUUU
rnacentral:rRNA from 1 species